rnacentral:rRNA from 1 species
GAUGAACGCUGGCGGCGUGCCUAAUACAUGCAAGUAGAACGCUGAAGGAAGGAGCUUGCUCUUUCCGGAUGAGUUGCGAACGGGUGAGUAACGCGUAGGUAACCUGCCUGGUAGCGGGGGAUAACUAUUGGAAACGAUAGCUAAUACCGCAUAACAGUAGAUGUUGCAUGAUAUCUACUUAAAAGGUGCAAUUGCACCACUACCAGAUGGACCUGCGUUGUAUUAGCUAGUUGGUGAGGUAACGGCUCACCAAGGCGACGAUACAUAGCCGACCUGAGAGGGUGCUCGGGCACACUGGGACUGAGACACGGCCCAGACUCCUAAAGGAGGCAGCAGUAGGGGAUCUUCGGCAAUGGACGGAAGUCUGACCGAGCAACGCCGCGUGAGUGAAGAAGGUUUUCGCGUCGUAAAGCUCUGUUGUAAGAGGAGAACGAGUGUGAGAGUGGAAAGUUCACACUGUGACGGUAUCUUACCAGAAAGGGACGGCUAACUACGUG